rnacentral:tRNA from 1 species
CAUUAGAUGGCUGAAAGAAAGCAAUAACCUCUUAAGUUAUUAUAUGAUAAUUAACGAAUAUCUCUAAUGA